AUUGAACGCUGGCGGCAUGCUUUACACAUGCAAGUCGAACGGUAACAGGCCGCAAGGUGCUGACGAGUGGCGAACGGGUGAGUAAUGCAUCGGAACGUGCCCAGUCGUGGGGGAUAACGCAGCGAAAGCUGUGCUAAUACCGCAUACGAUCUAGGGAUGAAAGCGGGGGACCGUAAGGCCUCGCGCGAUUGGAGCGGCCGAUGUCAGAUUAGGUAGUUGGUGGGGUAAAGGCCUACCAAGCCGACGAUCUGUAGCUGGUCUGAGAGGACGACCAGCCACACGGGGACUGAGACACGGCCCAGACUCCUACGGGAGGCAGCAGUGGGGAAUUUUGGACAAUGGGCGCAAGCCUGAUCCAGCAAUGCCGCGUGCAGGAAGAAGGCCUUCGGGUUGUAAACUGCUUUUGUACGGAACGAAACGGUCUGGGUUAAUACCCUGGGCUAAUGACGGUACCGUAAGAAUAAGCACCGGCUAACUACGUGCCAGCAGCCGCGGUAAUAC
rnacentral:rRNA from 1 species